rnacentral:rRNA from 1 species
UACGUAGGCGGCGAGCGUUGUUCGGAGUUACUGGGCGUAAAGCGCUUGUAGGCGGUCCACCAAGUUUGGGGUGACAGUUGCCGACUUAAUCGGCAAAGUGCCUCAAAGACUGGCGGACUUGAGGGCCACAGAGGGACAUGGAACUCCAGGUGUAGUGGUGAAAUGCGUAGAUAUCUGGAAGAACACCAAAGGCGAAGGCAGUGUCCUGGGUGGUCGCUGACGCUGAGAGGCGAAAGCCAGGGGAGCGAACGGG